GCAAUAUUCAACAAGGUUGUAGAAUAUCGCACAUUUUCCUCAUACUGUGGAGCCCUACUGUCUAUCCACAGAACU